GGCUGGUCCGAUGGCAGUGGGUUAGCAGAACUUACUAACAUUAGUGUCACUAAAGUUGGUAUACCAACCCCCCCUCCCGCUAAAUUUGACUGGCUUUUA
ensembl:misc_RNA Y_RNA Y RNA